GUACUCUCCUGCGGGAGGCAGCAGUGGGGAAUAUUGGACAAUGGGCGCAAGCCUGAUCCAGCCAUGCCGCGUGAGUGAUGAAGGCCCUAGGGUUGUAAAGCUCUUUCACCGGUGAAGAUAAUGACGGUAACCGGAGAAGAAGCCCCGGCUAACUUCGUGCCAGCAGCCGCGGUAAUACGAAGGGGGCUAGCGUUGUUCGGAUUUACUGGGCGUAAAGCGCACGUAGGCGGACUAUUAAGUCAGGGGUGAAAUCCCGGGGCUCAACCCCGGAACUGCCUUUGAUACUGGUAGUCUUGAGUUCGAGAGAGGUGAGUGGAAUUCCGAGUGUAGAGGUGAAAUUCGUAGAUAUUCGGAGGAACACCAGUGGCGAAGGCGGCUCACUGGCUCGAUACUGACGCUGAGGUGCGAAAGCGUGGGGAGCAAACAGUAUUAGAAACCCCAGUAGUCC
rnacentral:rRNA from 1 species